AUGAUGCUCAUCUUUGGACUGAUGCUGCUGCUGCUGCAAACUGCUGCAUGUCUGGAUCAGCUCUGCACAUUUGAUGAACCAUAUUCGAUCAAACAAUGUUACGCAGCUCUGGGACACAAACUCAGUCUGCAGAUGAUGCUGAACCCUUCAUAUACUGAACUUGAUUUGUAUAAGACGUUAAAUGAUGGCAGUACACUGAAAGUUUUUAGCAUAGAGAAAAAUAAAAAGUAUAAUUAUGAAUCCAUCAGAGACAUAUCUGAGUUAUUUAAAAAUGUGCCUCUGAUCAUAAAUACACAUGAAUCCAUCAGAAACAGAUCCGAGUUCUUCUUUGAUAAUAUGACUCUGACCAUAAACAAUGUGACCAGAGCAGAUUCAGGAAGAUACACAUCAUUUGUCGUUGAGAUAGAUAUGUUAAUGAAAAGUGAUCUUCAAGUGAUUGUUGAAGCUCCUAUUGGCUCAGUGGAAGUGUCAAUCAUCUGCUCCUCCAAUCAGACUACAGUGUUCUGCUCCUCUGAGGGAGAUCAGCUCAUCUACAGCUGGACUCUGAAUGGAAAAGUACUAGAAGAAGGACCAAUGUUUGGAAACAGCAGCAUUGAUCUGGAUGAGGGAACUGAUGGAAACAUCAGCUGCAGCGUGAAGAACAACGUCAGUCACGCACAGAAGACCAUUAGACUCAAACCCUGUCCUGGUCUGGAUCAGUUCUGCAGUUUUGAUCAGUCUGAUCCCUGUUACACAGCUCUGGGACACAAACUCAAUCUGCUGAUGGUCCUGGACACUAGUGAUUAUGACCUGAAGUUAAUAAAGAGAAUAAACAACAACACAGCAGAUGAUCCAGUUUGUAGAGUGAAGAAUGGCAGGAUGAAGAAAUGUGAUCUUUAUAAUAACAGACCUGAAGUGACAGUCAUUAAUGGGACUGUGAUAAUAAACUGUGUGAUCAGAGCAGAUUCAGGGAAUUACAGAUUAACACUCUCUGACUCAGGCGGCUCAGAAACAUCUAGAGAUCUUCAAGUGAUUGUUGAAGCUCCUAUUGGCUCAGUGGAAGUGUCAUUCAACUGCUCCUCCAGUGGGGUGAUGAGGGUGUCCUGCUCCUCUGAGGGGGAUCAGCUCCUCUACAGCUGGACUCUGAAUGGAGAUCCACUGAUGGAUGGAAACAGCAGCAUUGAUCUGGAUGAGGGAACUGAUGGAGACAUCAGCUGCAGCGUGAAGAACCACGUCAGUCACGCACACAACACCAUUAGACUCAAACCCUGUCCUGGGCCAAAGACUGCAGCUGUGACCUCUAGUGUGACCUCUAAUGUGACCUCUAAUGUGACCUCUGCAGUAACCAACAGCUCACAAGCAUCAGAAAAUGUUUUACUCUAUAUGAUUGCUUUUGGCUGCGUUGCUCUGAUCCUGAUUCUGCUGUUCAUCGUCAUAUGUUACGUUUACAAGAAAAAACAUCGGAAGUCAACACCAGCCGCUGCUGGAGAUACGGAGCUCAUAUACACUAAUAUACCUAAGAGAAAGGAUGAAAAGAAGACAACAGAAUCGCUGCCAGCUGCUGAAGAGGAAUACGCCUCAGUCCGACCGCAGACAAAGAGGAAGAAGAAGAAGAUGGAGGAAGAGGAGAUCCAGAACGGUGACGUUCACUCCGAACCACUCAGUCGCUCCAAAGCAGCAUCAGGAGGAGUGUGUUUACGCGCAGGCACAAAGACGCUAGUCUCACAAUAA
ensembl:lncRNA